rnacentral:rRNA from 1 species
UACGUAGGGUGCAAGCGUUGUCCGGAAUUAUUGGGCGUAAAGCGCGCGCAGGCGGUCCUUUAAGUCUGAUGUGAAAGCCCCCGGCUCAACCGGGGAGGGUCAUUGGAAACUGGAGGACUUGAGUACAGAAGAGAAGAGUGGAAUUCCACGUGUAGCGGUGAAAUGCGUAGAGAUGUGGAGGAACACCAGUGGCGAAGGCGACUCUUUGGUCUGUAACUGACGCUGAGGCGCGAAAGCGUGGGGAGCAAACAGG